rnacentral:lncRNA from 1 species
UCAUGGUUAAUGCAUUAAUGUUGAACUAUCUCAUAAUAAAUAUACAAAAGGAAUGUAUAGAUAUCAAAUAGAAGGACAACGAAAUGGACUAUCAUAAAGGAAAAAUCUAUCAAAUGCCAUCAGGUGACCUACCAGAAUAGAGGUUGGAGACUCUCUCCAAAUAUAAAGGAUCCAAUGUGCUACGGACCUAAAAACUCAACAAAAAUAAAAAAAAAGUGAGUUUGAUAAACUCAGUGAGCAAAUAUAAGGAAGGGGAAUAAGCUAUCCAAGGGAAUAUUUCAUAAUACAAUGCAUUUCAAAGUAUGCAUUUUCUUUUAUGUAAGAAAAUUCUUGUCACGACCCGGUACUCCCUUCGAACUCGUGACAUCCGCCGCGAUGUCUCAAUAGACAUUUAUUACCCGGAAUGUCAAUUGAAACCUCGCAAGGUUCUCGCAUCAAUUUUUACUCUCCCCUGUGAGCAACAAUUAUUAAAUACCAUGUUUUAAAGAAAUAUAGACUAAUUUCAAAUAAAAAACAAUCAAAAAGUAAUUUCUACUACACAGGGGUAUUUUGGUCAUUUUACCUAAAAUUUUCGAACCCUGGUAAAAAUAUGAUAUACAAGCAAUAAACAUCCAUUUCAUGUCUAAAAAUAAGUUUCGUUGUCUAAUUCAUCAAUUUAAAGUAAAAUUAUAGCUAUUCAAAUUAAAUAAAAAUAUUAAAUAAAAUAUUCUAUUUUCUUAUAAAACAAUAUUUAUAGAACUCUGCGUAAAUAAUUUUUGUAUCAUAAAAGCAAAAUAAAUUCAUACAUACAGUGGUACACGCAUCCAAAUAUACAAAAUAUUCUACAAUGACAUGUGGGCCCUCAAAAUAACAAAAUAAACAAGACUAUAGACUUGCGAUUUCUAAGGAUGCGAAUCAAAAAGUAAUCCCUUGACAUAUCGACUAUUUACAAGUUGCCCUGAGCCUGAAAUGGGUGAAAAUGAGGGGUGAGUUUUUAUAAACCCAGUGAGUAAGCAAAAUUCAUCUAUAACAUCUAAAGCCGAGUAAAUGGAGGCAAUUAAAUCAUCCCAUCAUAAUAUGAUUCAUAAUAUUUAAAACUCAUUUCAAUUCAUAUAAAACAAAUACAUUUCAUCGAAAUAAUCAACAAGGCUUAUGAUUCUCUUAAAAACGUGGCUCGUACCAAAACUUGUGCUUGGUGACACCUUGUGCAGGGCAUCCAACCGAGUCCACCAAGGCUGUUAAAACGAUAUAUACACAUAAAACAUGUUUUUACGUUUAAAAACGUAGCUGUUCCUUGGCGUUGGCUGAGUUUCAUCCUCACGUGGUGGUUUAGCGUGAAGUGAACUCUAAACAUACCUUAGGAGAUACCCUCCGCGCCUCUCAUACUAAGGUAAAAUAUAACGGGGUUUACCUUGCCUCUCUAAUAGGCUGGUCCAUAGAAACCCGCCCACUGCAGUAAGCUAAAUACAUAACCCACCAAAUCAAUAAAAUUUCGGUAACAUAACAUGGCUAAUGUAGUACUAUCCAGCCUGUCAAUGUAAGACAAAACAAUUUAUAUAAUUCACAAAACCACAAUUCCAACCAUUCAUGCUACCACAAUUUCAUAAGCCAUCAAUUCAAAUCAUGUAUAUAUAUAUAAUACGAAUGUAUAGCCUCCACUUACUCUAUUUCGAAAAUCAGCAUUUAGUUUCAAAAUAAUUUAUAAAUCUCAUUCAUUUAAUCAACAUUUAAAAUGUAAAACAUAAUAAUUUGCAAAUUAAGUGCCUUAUUCUUUAAAAUCAUAAAACAAAUAUAAAUCACUUUAGAUAAUUAAGAUGAAUAUUUGAUUACUCACUAUAAUGGGAAUUUGUAGUGGUAGGAGUACUCCUAUUCUCGGUCCUCGGGCACAAUAUCUUUACCCUUAUAAGAGGGCUCACCACCUAUACAUAAUACACGACAUGUAAUUCAUUGUAUUUGUGCCAAAUUGUUAUAAAACUAUUUCAGGCUCUAUAUGAAUGUAUGACAUUGAAUGAGAAUUAUCCGAAUCAUCACUUAAAGACGAUGUUCUACGUGGGUUCAAUUAUGAUCGGACUGAAUUGGCAUUCGACCUAACUUGCACUAUGCCUUGUUUAAUUAGCCAAAACAUCCAAUUUAACUCCAAAUAUCUUCAUUACACUUCCAAUAUUUCAAAUACACCAAAGUACCUCAAUGAGCUUAAUUGUGACUUAAUUCACCGUAACCGAAAUUCAUUCCGAUUUCGAUAUCCGAUACCAUAAAUCAUCAAUUCCUAGCUAAAUAACAUGAAUUACAACCAAAUCCAUUAUCAACAUGCCUUAUAGAAAAUUCGGCCAAAUGAGAGUGGUUGAAGAACAUGUGAUUUUCUUGCUUGUUUUCCUUCCAAACAUCACAAAAUGACUAAAAACACUAAGGUAUUAUGGAAUCUAGCAAAAUUCAUCAUCAAAACUUCUCUCUCUAGAUUUGGCCAGCAAAGGUUCCCUCUUGAAAACUUGAAUUUCAGCCAUGGAGAAUGAAAAAGAAUGCAUGGGAAAGGUAGAUCACAAGCUAAAAUUAAAAAACUUUACCUUGCUUGAUUCCUUGAAAUCCAACAAUUUCUCUUGAAUUUUUCCUUCCUAGGGUUUGUUCUUCUCUUUUUCUCUUUGUUCCCUUGCUUGGCCGGCCAUAAGAGUGAAAUGGGAGAAGCUUAAGUCGGUUUAUAAAGGAAAAUCAUAAAAAUAUUAAAGCUUGACACAUGUCACCACUUGAUUGGUCCAUGAUUAAAAACUUAACCAUUAAGCAAUUUCUCACCACCACAUGUAAUCCCAUAAUUAUCCAAAGUAUAAAGUGAUAAUAGGUGAAAUUCAUGGGCUUGACAAGUGUCAUGGUGGUGUAAAAUUUCAAUUACGUCCUCAUGGACACGUGAAAUGACCGUUUUGCCCUUAUACUCGAAAAAUGUCGAAAUUGAAAUUUUUCACUCCACAAUUUCAAAUUAUGCUCCAAAUAGUCAAACUUGGUAAAAAAUCUCAUCCAACAUUCCAAUUUUUCCCUUGGAUGGCAAAAUGACCAUUUUGCCCCUACGUUAUGAAAAUUCCUGAAUUAACUCCAAAUCAAUCCUCAAAUUCCGAAUCAUCAUAUUAAGACAUUUUAAGGUUCAAUAUCUCUCAAAUGCAUCUUAAAAUCUCUAUUUGGACUAAUUCGAGGUUUUAAUCAACUUAAUUGUACCACUAGGUACAGUAUCGACUUUUAAUGAUUUUUCGAGGCAUCUGCAUACUUGGAUGCAGACAUGCUAUCAAGUACAUGAAUGACAUGACAAGUAUAUAAUAGAGCAGGGCUUGACAAUACUCAUAACCAAAAUCAAACCUUUUUUAACUCAAAGAUGCUUAAUAUUUAAUGCAUCAAACCAUUUGAUCGAAUUAUGAAUAGGUUCCUUAAUUCUUGGGGGUUGAAGCAUCUAAUUUAAAGUGUCCAAAUAUCUUUUCAAAAGAUCUUCUUUUUCAUAAAUAAAGCAUAAGGAUCAAUCCUUUAUGGGUUAGGGGUUGAUCUCAAGCACACAAAACCCAUUCCUGAGUGUUCUGUCUUCUAGGGAUCGACUUUUGCUUUCUCAGGGGUUGAUCCCCACAAUAUAGAAACUCUUCACAAAGUGUUAUGUUUUUCAGGGAUUUACCCUUGCUCUGUAAGAGGUUAAGUACAUAAUGUAAUUAUUAGCUCCUUAUUGCUUAUGUUUUGAUACCAAAAAGGGAAAUCAUUCAUCCUUAAGCAUUUGGCUCAUUGAUUGGUGCAUGAUCUCUCUGCUUAAAGAGCAGGGUUCGAAUCUCUCUUUUCCCAAUUAUAAAAAAAAAAAACAUAUUCAUUGAAAAAUGCGAAAAUAUAACAUAUCAAAAACAUGUUUCAAUUCAGAAUUGUAAACCAUUUCUUAACAUCAAAAUCAUAUAAGCCUCGUAAGGUUUCAAAAUCAUUUCAGAAAUAUGAAGCCUAUCUCAAAAAGUUCAAACAAAAUGGACUAAGGGUUUGCAACCUAAAGGGUAGGCUAUCCCUCAUUAUCUAAGGCCAUACUUGCCUACUGUAGUAGCUACUAACAGUAUGAUGUUAGCAAAAGCAUGUAGCUUGACACAAAUCAGAUCAUGUGUUAUCCUCCAACACAUAUGGCUAGCAUCAUUACUCUUGCCAGUUGGAGCUUAGAUCAAUGUGUACAUGUCACGCCCCUUUUGUGGAAGAGGGUGGGAUAGCCCGAUGGUAAGGGUUUGAGGCUCGGGAGUGGGCGAGCCAGCUUAAAGAUGGGCGAGCAACGAGGGCUGGAACCCUAAUUUGAUGCCAAGGGACUUGAGCCAUCGGCACCCAUGGGCAGAUGAGCCCGCAGGCCAACUAUCAGACUGGGUGAGCGGACCAGCAGACAGCAGUGUGCGAGGGCCAGUACGCAGACGGGGUGCGCAGGGGCACAAGAAAAUGGCGCGCAGCAGAGCUGGCAGACUGGCACAUAGCGGGUGUACACGAACGGCCCAGAUAAUCUGCCAGAAGCGCUGGAAACACUAGCCAGCCCAAGGCCUGCGGGGCAGCCGUUGCCUACCGUUGGCAACAGUGCCAAGGGGGCGUCAAAGGGGCCUAGCAGAGUUCAAAACAGCCCCUAGCCGUUGGGAACUACCUUGUAAUGGCUCUCAGGGGUCCUAUGCUAUAUAAACCCUUUAAGCCCCCUCAUUUGGGACUAAUGACUCUUGUAUUGGAAUUUCUAUCAAUAAAAGCUCUCUCUUUCUUCUUUCAACUCUCUUGUGCUUGCCAAAAUCGAUUCUAAUUCAAUAACUUGAGAAGGCUGCUAGCCUUUCUAACCUCCUUUAGCAAGGCAAAGGCUAGGCCGCACGGGUCAAGAGAAAACCCCUGUGACAUACGCACUAGCUAGUGCCCCCUGCCGCUAGCUAUAAGACCUUAACUCAAGACGCUCCAUUAAAACAUUUUAACAAAAAAUUAGAAAUUACAGGUGAACUCGUUCAAUCCCUUCAAACUAAAAUAGAUUGGCAUGUAUCUUGUCAAUGCCAUUAAUAGAGUUUUCUUUUCAAAGUACAUAAACCUUUAUUAAGGUUGCCAAUAGAUAAAUAGAUAGAUUCAAACUCAAAAUCAUUUCAAAUUUAUACUUAAGCAUGAGUACUGAAAACGGAGUUAGCCAUCCUGUGGCUCAUAAGUCAUUCAGAUUCAAACUCGUUUUGAAGAGUUGAAAGCAAUAAAAGCGCUUGUUCCCCAUACACAAAACUAAUAACAUAGUAUGUACUUACAUCAGAAUACAUUUAAAACCACAACUUAAAAAUCAUGUUUUCUAUGAAACCAUUCAAUAAAACGGAUAUAUGCAGAAUUAAAUCAAACAUGCAUAUUUUUAACAAAAUAUAUUCAAAACUAUAUAUCUACUCACAGUGGAAAGAGGCACUUUUCCUCUAGCUUGCAAUCCUUAGCUCAAGGAGAAAGAGAGUAAGUUUCAAUCAUAGUGAGAGAAAAUUAAUAACCAAUCAAAUCGAACUUAAUAGCUCAAGGAAGCCAAAUCUCAUCUUAAUUUUGAAGUUAGAGCUUCCACCUAGGCCAAAUUGGAAGGAGGAAUGAGUGAGGAAGAAGAAGAUAGGCUUUGGACAAUGUGAGAGAGGAAGAAAAUUGAAAUGGGUGGAUAGGCCAAACUGCGCAUGUAAUCCUGGAGGAUGGGG